rnacentral:lncRNA from 1 species
AUCAGAAGAUCGACGGUGUGGUUUUGUUAUUGGAGUCACAACAGUGCCUCAGUGUAUAUUGGGUUGUCAUUGGUCUGAAUGGGUGUAGGGAUUCAUCAGUUGCAGUUGGAUUUUGAAUCAUGUUGUAUUUUCUCAAGCCGCUAAUAUGGAUAAAAGUAGAGCUUGCAGUUCUCAGAAUUCUAACUCGUGGAAUUUCAUUAUUCCUUAAGUUCAGAUUUUGAUUUUGGUCUUAAUCCUUCUUUCAGGUUUCAUAAAACGUUUUGCAGGUGAUGUAGUUGGAAGUAAUAAUGUUUUAAUGCUACUCACAUUUACUAGCAUGCGGUGGUACGAUUUGGUUAAAUCAUGUCAUUACCGUCAAGACUAGGACUUUCGUCUGAGUUUCUACUUGUAAAUCUAAUGGGUCUUCAUCCCUUUC